rnacentral:tRNA from 1 species
UCGGGUUGUGGGGCGGCGCCGUGCUCGGCCGGAUCUCCACCGGCGCGCCGGCGUUCGGGUUCGUUCAGCUCGGU